AGUUGCGAACGGGUGAGUAACGCGUAGGUAACCUGCCUUGUAGCGGGGGAUAACUAUUGGAAACGAUAGCUAAUACCGCAUAACAAUGGAUGACCCACGUCAUUUAUUUGAAAGGGGGCAAAAUGCUCCACUACAAGAUGGACCUGCGUUGUAUUAGCUAGUAGGUGAGGUAACGGCUCACCAAGGCAACGAUACAUAGGGGGACUGAGAGGUUAACCCCCCACACUGGUACUGAGACACGGACCAGACUCCUACGGGAGGCAGCAUG
rnacentral:rRNA from 1 species